UCCCUGACAUCCAUCGUCCACACCCUUUG
rnacentral:piRNA from 1 species